AUCCUCUACUUACAAGAAAAGCUGCUAAACGAAGAAGUUGUUAGUCCGUACCAAAACCGACUCAGGUGGGCAGGGAGAGAAUCCUAAGGCGAUUGAGUGAAACAUUGUUAAGGAACUCGGCAAUAUAACACCGUACCUUCGGUAUAAGGUGUGCCAGCAGUGUGUAGGGGUUUACCCCCGAAGCAUGGUCUGGUUGCAGAGAAGAGAGGGUGGCGACUGUUUACCAAAAACACAGCACUACGCAAAAUCACAAGAUGAUGUAUGUGGUGUGACGCCUGCCCGGUGCUGGAAGGUUAAGAGGAGUGGUUAGUCGCAAGGCGAAGCCUCGAAUUGAAGCCCCAGUAAACGGCGGCCGUAACUAUAACGGUCCUAAGGUAGCGAAAUUCCUUGUCGGGUAAGUUCCGACCUGCACGAAUGGCGUAACGACUGCCCUGCUGUCUCAACAGUGUGCUCAGCGAAUUUGAAAACCGGGUGCAGAUGCCCGGUACCCGCAGCAAGACGGAAAGACCCCGUGUACCUUUACUAUAACUUGACACUGGUAUUCGGGUUGGUUUGUGUAGCAUAGGUGGGAGACUAUGAAGCGAGGACGCUAGUUCUUGUGGAGUCGUCAGUGAAAUACCACCCUGAACAAUCUGGUUAUCUAACCUCGACGCAACAACGUCAGGGACAGUGUCUGGUGGGUAGUUUGACUGGGGCGGUCGCCUCCUAAAGUGUAACGGAGGCGCGCAAAGGUUCCCUCAGACCGGAUGGAAAUCGGUCGUAGAGUGCAAACGCAUAAGGGAGCUUAACUGCGAGAGCGACGGUUCAAGCAGAUACGAAAGUAGGCGUUAGUGACCCGGUGGUUCUGUAUGGAAGGGCCAUCGCUCAACGGAUAAAAGGUACUCCGGGAUAACAGGCUGAUCUCCUCCAAGAGUUCACAUCGACGAGGAGGUUUGGCACCUCGAUGUCGGCUCAUCACAUCCUGGGGCUGAAGCAGGUCCCAAGGGUUUGGCUGUUCGCCAAUUAAAGUGGUACGCGAGCUGGGUUCAGGACGUCGUGAGACAGUUCGGUCCCUAUCUGCUGUGGGCGUAGGAAAUUUGAGGGGAUCUAACCUUAGUACGAGAGGACCGGGUUGGACAUACCUCUGGUGUACCAGUUGUUUUGCCAAAGGCACCGCUGGGUAGCCACGUAUGGAAGGGAUAAGCGCUGAAAGCAUCUAAGUGCGAAACCCAUCCCAAGAUAAGAUUUCCCUGGCAUUCGAAAGAGUGUCCUAAAGAUCUGUUCAAGACCAGGACUUUGAUAGGCUGGACGUGUAAGUGCAGUAAUGCAUUCAGCUGACCAGUACUAAUCGAUCGUGAGGCUCU
rnacentral:rRNA from 1 species